CAUAAGCAGAGGACUCCGAUGACGAAAAUAAAAUCUACAGAGCCCAGCAGAAGGCAGACCGGAAGUUGCGCCAAGAGCAGCGGAACCGCGCAGGACGUUUCUCUCAAUACGUUCUUCUGGUCAAAGGCAAUGGCAAUGCAGCAUCGGCAUCGAAUCAGUCAACGGCAGCUUCGCAGACUAGACGGCCCGGGACGUGUUUCCGGUGUGGGCGUACAGGACAUUGGCGAGCAGAGCGCAUGGCUGUAUACCCAGCAAUGGAGCCAUUGUUUCGAAAGAUAACAAGAUAAGUAACCAUGUUGAUUGUAGUGUGGUUGAGGAAAAUGAGAAAUCGAUUGCAAAAUAUCAGUAAAAACGCCUGUAGGUAGGCUUAACUCUUGUUACGAGUAUUGGAAAAACGCAAAUGCAAGUGAUUACAUAUUAGACGUAUUUAAUAAUGAAUACAAAAUGCCUUUUAGAGAUGUACCACGGUCUGUUAUUUUACCCAAUAACAAAUCUGCUAAUGAUAAUUGUUCAUUUGUGUCGAAAUUGAACGUCAAUUGGCUAAGGGCUGUAUUUCUCAAGUAAAAUAAACCUCCAGUCGUUGUUAAUCCUUUGACUGUGGCUUAUGGAAAAAGCAGAAAACCGAGACUUGUAUUAGAUUGUCGUUAUAUAAAUCCAGAAUUAUUUAAAUACAAGGUCUGUUUCGAGGAUCAGUCAGUUGCUAAACAAAUAUUUUGUAAAGGAGACUAUUUAUUUUCAUUUGAUAUUAGAUCCGCUUAUCAUCAUAUAAUGAUUUUUCCAGAACAUAGACAAUUUCUUGGUUUUUGUUGGGAAACCGAAAACGGAAAAGGGUAUUAUGUUUACAACGUGUUACCAUUCGGGAUCUCUACAGCGGGUUUCAUUUUAAAUUUACUAAAAUUUUGAGAGUUCUUGUAACAAAAUGGAGGUCGAUGGGUCACAAAAUAGUUGUAUUUCUGGAUGACGGUCUCGGUGGUUCAAAUUCAUUUGAAAACGCUUCCCGAGUUUCAAGGUUCAUACUCGAAGAUUUGCGGAAUUUUUGGUUCUUAAUCGCUGAUGAAAGUUGUCAUUGGGAACCUCGGCAGUGUAUAGAUUGGUAAGGGUAUACUUGGCAUAUGCAUGAUGGUACUGUGCGAGUAAAUGAUGCACGUAUAGAAAGCGCCGUCUGUAUAUUAAAUGAGAUUUCAUCUAAAAUUGUUUACGUUGAAAAUAUGUUGCAUGUACGUGUAAUUGCACGACUGAUCGGUCAGCUGAUUUCGAUGCAAAGUGCUAUGGGGCCGAUUGUACGUUUAAGGUCAAGGUCUCUUUAUCAGUGCGUAUUGUCCAGAGCGAGUUGGGACGCUCCUGUCUUGGUGACAAGCAAGGCUUUUGAUGAGAUAUUAUUUUUGAAAUGGAACAUACAUUCGCUGAGUUGUGGGAAAUUAGAGGAAUUUGAUUUGUUUUGCGAAAAUGAGCAAACCGUCGUCUAUUGUGACGCCAGUGGAGCUGGAUUUGAAGGUUUUGUAGAGAAUCACAACAAUGGCGAUGUUGUGGGUUGUUGGUCCGAGUCUGAAACAAGACUCAGUUCUACCUGGAGUGAGUUAGAAUCUGUACGCAGAGUGCUUAAUAGUUCUUUGGAACAAGUAAAAGGAUCUGUAGUUAAAUUAAACUCCGAUAACAGGAAUGUAACAAGUAUUUUAAAAACAGGUAGUAGAAAGCCAUAUCUGCAAGAUGUUGCAGUACAUGUUGAUGAUGUCUGUAGAAGUAAUGGUAUAAUAUUGGUACGAAAUUGGGUUCCACGAAAAAGCAACGAUUAAGCCGAUUUUUUGAGUAGGUCCACUGAGAGUGACGAUUGGUCUAUUGAAAAUUAUAUUUUCGAAAAUUUAGAAACAACUUGGGGUCCACAUACAUGUGAUUGUUUUGCAUGUAAUUACAAUACUAAAUGCGCCAAAUUUAAUUCUAGAUAUUGGUGCCCUGGUACUUCCAGCUGUAGACGCAUUUAGAGUGGAGUGAAAAGGCGAGAAUAUCUGGAUUGUACCUCCGCCUCGAUUGGCAUGUUUAAAUCUCAAGACGGCUAUUGAGACGGAGAUUCAGGACAGCGGGAUUAGCUUAAGCGAGUUUGGAGAUUUGGCGGGAAAGAUGUCGAGACAACUUGUGUAUUCAAGAAGUGACAAUACAUACAUAAAGUAUUUUAGUCAUUAUAAUAAGUGGAAAUCUUUUAUAUCUUCUAAGGGCGGCUUAGCGGUUCCAGCUUCUCCUAUUCAUGUGGCUUUGUAUUUGACUGAUCUUAUUGACAAGCAAGUAUCGAGUUAUGUUAUAAGUGCUUCUUUAUAUAGCAUUAAGUGGGCUAAUUCUCUCAGAAAUCUCCCUGAUCCUACGGCUAAUGCAUUUGUGGUGAAUUUGCUGGAAUCUGCAAAAAAGAACAUUAUCAAAACCGUUUUCUUGCAAGGAACUGAUUUCUUUAGAAUCGUAGCAAGUGCUUUGCGAAAAGUAUUCUAGCAAUACAGAUUUGCUUGUAUUGAGGGAUUUAUGCAUGUUCUCUUUAGCAUUUAAUGGCUUUUUACUAUUUAACGAGCUAGUUAAUUUGAGAUGUGAUGAUAUUCAAUUUUUUAUCGAAUAUUUUACAAUAACCAUAAGAAAAAGUAAGAAUGACCAAUAUCGUAACGGCGAAAAAAUCCAUAUCGCUAAGGGCGAAACUGCGGCUUGUCCGUAUUUUAUUUUAAAUAGAUAUUUAGAAAUUGCUGGAUUAUCGACGAGUAGCAAUUGUUUCUUGUUUGGACCUAUUAAUAAGUCAAAAGGCAAUUCAAUAUUGAUUCAGAAAGACAAACCGCUGAGUUAAAUCCGAAGUCGCGAGUGUAUAACGGCUUUAUUAAGAGAAGUGGUAGGUAAUUCAAAUAUUGGCUUGCAUUCAUUGCGCGCCGAAGGCGCAACAUGCGCGGCGAACGCAGGAGUAGAUGACCGUUGUUGGAAACGGCAUGGUCGCUGGAAGAGCGAAAAUAGUAAGGAUAGAUAUGCCUGUGACUCCUUGGAGAGGAGACUGAGUGUGUCUAAGGCUCUGGCGUUAUAAAUAUAGGCAGUUUCAUUCUCAAAUAGCAUUGUGAUGUUAAAUAUUUUAUUUUUUUUUCCCCACCAGCCCGCUCUUUUCGUUUUCUAAACGUCUCGUCUGGUAUUUCAAACAUGAGUGUGUUGUUUUUAAAGGAGAAACAGAAGUGUAGCAAAUACUUUUUAUUUUUACGCGUUUCGAUAGUAUAGCGUGAAAUAUUUGUCUUACGCGAAACGUGACUGUUUUACAGUAAUAAAAUGAUUGGUCAGUUGCACGAGGAUCUCAAACAUACAAUUAUGUCGUGUAGAGUUCAUUCUACCAGGCGUCUUCAGACAGUGCGGACCGGUUUUAUUUUAAUUUCAUGUGCUAAGAAAAGUUGUUGUUUUUUGCUGCGUUGGUAUAUGUUUUGAUUUGUAUAUGAAACCAGACACAUGAAUGAGGCUCGACAUUCGUAUUGUGUUGCGACAAUUGGCAAACGAGCACAGGUUUCCAGCGUUAACCGUCUCUGGUUUUUCCUGGCCGGUCGGUUCACAUUUUGUAGUCAUAAAUCUUGCCAUGUAUGUAUUCAAUGUUGAACUUGGCUGCACAGUGUCCCGCAAAUAAACGUCUCGUCUGGUAUUGCAAA